rnacentral:piRNA from 1 species
UAAUCAUGUACAGGCUUACAGAAAUCUAG